CCAAUCAGCUAUAAGGACAGGUAUAAAACCUCUGACGGGUCUUUUAACAAAGAGAUAGAGGACUCGUGUGAUGACUUCCACCCACCAUGGAGCUGUAAGUCACUUUUUUAUUGCAUCAUGGCCUCUUUGAUUGAUAUAUUCUUUAUAACAAUGUAACAUUUAGGUCAUGUAACAUUUAAUUGAAAUGUUGUGUGUUGUGUUGACUUAUUCUUACAAAGCAUUAGAUUUAACACUGUACAACUAUCUUCUUUAUAAAAGGGAAGGGAAUGGGGGGAUACCUAGUCAACUGUUCAACUGAAAAGGCCAAUGCUCUUUAUUUUUCUCGUAGCUCCCUGUGUUCUCUGUCAGUGCUGACGCUAGUGGCUGUUGUGUUCAUGGUACCAAUGAAAGACAGAAGUGAGGAUGUGUUAAGCUUUUUGAAUGGUGCCCUUGAUGUUGCUCCCGCUACUCAAAGCACCUCAGGAAAAAUCAAAGGUCCCGAGAACACCUUUGGUAAACCAGCUCCAACCCCAGCAAGACCAAGUCCUUUAAGACCAACAGAGAACUCUGCAGAAAUCUCUAAUGUUACGCAGACUGCAAACUCUGCUUGUUUAACAGAUGUUGUAGACUCAGAUGCCAGAUCCAAAGAGAAAUGCAACUCCAAUGAUCUUACAGAUGCAGAACGAUCUGAAAGUAACUCAGCAGAAAGCAGAGGUAUAUUAAAUAUCAAAAUAAUCUAUCACUGAAAUAUCCGUAGGGGAAAAUUAAUCUGGUAAAAUUGACUUCAUAGACUGUUACGGCCAUACCAAUUCUGAUUCUCUCUCUCUCUCUCUCUCUCUCUCUCUCUCUCUCUCUCUCUCUCUCUCUCUCUCNNNNNNNNNNAGAAUUCUCUUAUAAUUACAUCCCAUAGACAUGUAACUAACACUAUGUAAGAGACUGAACAUGACAUCACCUGGGCUUGUCUUGUUGUAGGACAGCAACAGAGACGGAAAAAAUCAUGUGGUUGUAUCAGCCGCCAAACCCUCUACUGAGAUUCAAGAUAUGUCAUUAUCUACUAGAUGAAGUCCUUGGCCAACAGUGUAUUUAAACAAACAUAGAAUUAACAUACUUAGAAUAAAAACGUAUUAAACCAAUAGCACUUAUUCAUAUCCAUAGAUUUUCGUACAAAGAGUAAAAUCAAAAUGGAAUCAGUUGACAGUUCUAACCGACUCUUCAUCCCCAAUACAGUGACAGACGACAGUAGCAGCGAUGAGACUGAC
rnacentral:lncRNA from 13 species